rnacentral:misc_RNA from 1 species
UCUCCGUAGGUGAACCUGCGGAGGGAUCAUUACAGAGUUUUUGCCCGCAAGGGUAGAUCUCCCACCCUUUGUUUUUCCUUCUCUGUUGUUUUGGCGGGGCGUCCGGCCUCGGUCAGGCCACCGGCUCCGGCUGGUUCGCGCCAGCCAGAGGACCCCAAACCCUAAAGGUCAGUUCCGUCUGAGUACUUUAUAAUAGUUAAAACUUUCAACAACGGAUCUCUUGGUUCUG